rnacentral:rRNA from 1 species
CGGAGGAUCCAAGCGUUAUCCGGAAUCAUUGGGUUUAAAGGGUCCGUAGGCGGUUUAGUAAGUCAGUGGUGAAGGCCCAUCGCUCAACGGUGGAACGGCCAUUGAUACUGCUAGACUUGAAUUAUUAGGAAGUAACUAGAAGUAUGUAGUGUAGCGGUGAAAUGCUUAGAGAUUACAUGGAAUACCAAUUGCGAAGGCAGGUUACUACUAAUGGAUUGACGCUGAUGGACGAAAGCGUGGGUAGCGAACAGGGAUUAGAUACCCUGGUAGUCCACGCCGUAAACGAUGGAUACUAGCUGUUGGGAGCAAUUUCAGUGACUAAGCGAAAGUGAUAAGUAUCCCACCUGGGGAGUACGGGCGCAAGCCUG